UACGUAGGGGGCAAGCGUUGUCCGGAAUCAUUGGGCGUAAAGCGUGCGCAGGCGGUUUUGUAAGCCAGAUGUGAAAUCCCCGGGCUUAACCUGGGAAUGGCAUUUGGGACUGCAAGGCUGGAGUGUGGCAGAGGAGACUGGAAUUCCUGGUGUAGCAGUGAAAUGCGUAGAUAUCAGGAGGAAUACCGAUGGCGAAGGCAGGUCUCUGGGCUGACACUGACGCUCAUGCACGAAAGCGUGGGGAGCAAACAGG
rnacentral:rRNA from 1 species